GCGGAUGGUUGGAUGGCCGCGCUUGCCCUGAAAGGCAGGUGAGGAAAGUCCGGGCUCCACAAGGCAAGGGUGCCGGGUAACGCCCGGCCGGGGCAACCCGAGGGAAAGCGCCACAGAAAACAGACCGCCUAGCCGUCUCGGCUGGGUAAGGGUGAAACGGUGGGGUAAGAGCCCACCGCAGGCCGGGCAACCGGACUGGCACGGCAAGCCCCACCCGGAGCAAUGCCGAAUAGGGAUCUCGCGCGCGCAGCGCAGGACCGCCUUGGUCCGAGGUCCGGGUUGGCAGCGCGAGCCCGCGUGCAAGCGCGGGCCCAGAUGAAUGGCCAUCUCCGGGGCUGUGGCCCCGGAACAGAACCCGGCUUACAGACCAUCCGCAUCA
rnacentral:RNase_P_RNA from 1 species